rnacentral:rRNA from 1 species
CGGGCGUAGCAAUACGKGCAGCGGCAGACGGGWGAGUAACRCGUGGGCAACRURCCYUUUGGUUCGGAACAACACAGGGAAACUUGUGCUAAUACCGGAUAAGCCCUUACGGGGAAAGAUUUAUYGCCGAARGAUYGGCCCGCGUCUGAUUAGCUAGUUGGUGAGGUAAYGGCYCACCAAGGCGACGAUCAGUAGCUGGUCUGAGAGGAUGAUCAGCCWCAUUGGGACUGAGACACGGCCCAAACUCCUACGGGAGGCAGCAGURGGGAAUAUUGGACAAUGGGCGCAAGCCUGAUCCAGCCAUGCCGCGUGAGUGAUGAAGGCCYUAGGGUUGUAAAGCUCUUUYGUGCGGGAAGAUAAUGACGGUACCGCAWGAAKAAGCCCCGGCUAACUUCGUGCCAGCAGCCGCGGUAAUACGAAGGGGGCUAGCGUUGCUCGGAAUCACUGGGGCGUAAAGSGYRCGUAGGCGGRUCUUUAAGUCAGGGGUGAAAUCCUGGAGCUCAACUCCAGAACUGCCUUUGAUACUGAAGAUCUUGAGUUCGGGAGAGGUGAGUGGAACUGCGAGUG